rnacentral:sRNA from 1 species
AUCUACCACUCUUACACACCGGCUCCGAGCGCGCCGUCCGCACCCACCUGGCGACUGCUCGCUACCUUUUGUUGGCC